rnacentral:misc_RNA from 1 species
GAUGAAGAACGCAGCGAAAUGCGAUAAGUAAUGUGAAUUGCAGAAUUCAGUGAAUCAUCGAAUCUUUGAACGCACAUUGCGCCCUCUGGUAUUCCGGGGGGCAUGCCUGUUCGAGCGUCAUUUUAACCACUCAAGCUCUCGCUUGGUAUUGGGGUUCGCGGUUCCGCGGCCCCUAAAAUCAGUGGCGGUGCCUGUCGGCUCUACGCGUAGUAAUACUCCUCGCGAUUGAGUCCGGUAGGUCUACUUGCCAGCAACCCCCAAUUUUUACAGGUUGACCUCGGAUCAGGUAGGGAUACCCGCUGAACUUAAGCAUAUCAAUAAGCGGAGGA